UAGAAGCCUCGGUGUGGGCUUAUCUCUCUGCAGCAGCCUGUAUAUAAAGCCUGGCUUCACACACCAGUCCUAUUCAAACUCACUCAGCGGCUGAACAUCACUCUAUUUCACACGGACUGUCGGACUAACAACUCAAGUAGCAAAGCAUGAAGCGCAGACGGCUGCUGCUCGCACUGGCUCUCUUACCCACCAUAACUGAGACGCUAGAGGACUCAGCUUCGCAGGGUGUCCCUGUCCCUUCCUCAUCUUCUCAGCCUACCCAGAGCUCCCAGUCUCUAGAUGACUACAUGACGAGCAUCCAGGCUCUUGCCCGUCCUGUGGAGGCCCCCAGUUGCGGCCCCGUCAGACUCCAGAGGUCCCCCAGGCCUCGGCUUUUCACCAAGAACCAAAUGAAGCUCUCUGUGUCAGCCUCUUUGCCUCGCGGUCCUCCCCGUGCCUUAAGGACUUCCCGACCCUGCACCCCCAGCCUAACUAGCACAGAGGAGCUCUCUCUCAGGAUGGGCAGGGAGAGAGACUGCAGGGGCACGGAUCCUGUGGACUGGCUGUUUGGGCAGACACAGAUAAGGACUUGAAGUGGGAUGUGACUGAGGGCAAAACAGAUGAAUCUCUGUAGGCCCUUUGUGGAGUGCCUCGUAAAAAACACAAAAGUGGAUUAACCUGCUCUGUUUAUACAAGUGGUAACAACUCAAAGGACUAUAAAGGACUCAGCAUGGUGGCUGAGGAAGCAGAGGACCAAAGUGAGGCUCUUGUAGAGCUGAAGAAAUAUUUAUUUCUAUGCACUAAGGACUCAGGUCUCCAUGUUUACAUUGUGUUAUUUUUUUUAUAUGGAAUGGAUGUGGUUUUUAAUAAAACAAAUGUGAAACUGUU